rnacentral:lncRNA from 1 species
GUAAUUAGAAUGUGACAUUAUUCUUAUUUUUUUUCUUAAUUUCGGGUCAAGAACAAAUAAUGAAGUGAAAAUAAAUAAUAAGGCUUUAUUUUUUAUUUUUUAUCACUUCGAUUUUUUUUUUGUUUUUUCACUAUAAGAUGUCCUAUACUUUUAUUUUAUGUUUGACCCCUAAAAAUAAAUAAUUAUUUUUGUUUAACUUUGUGAUUUGCUGUUGGUUCUAUUUUUUUUUCAUUUCAAUCGUUUGAAUCACAUUAAAAUUACCUUUA